AACGCGAAGAACCUUACCCAGGUUAGAAGUGUAGGGGACGAUAUUAGAGAUAGUAUUUUCCGCAAGGACCGCUACAUAGGUGCUGCAUGGCUGUCGUCAGCUCGUGCCGUGAGGUGUUGGGUUAAGUCCCGCAACGAGCGCAACCCUUAUCAUUAGUUGCCAGCGAGUAAGGUCGGGAACUCUAAUGAGACUGCCUAGGUGAACUAGGAGGAAGGUGAGGAUGACGUCAAGUCCGCAUGGCCUUUAUGCCUGGGGCUACACACGUGCUACAAUGGUCGGUACAGAAGGCAGCGAAACCGCGAGGUGGAGCAAAUCCCAAAAGCCGAUCUCAGUUCAGAUUGUAGUCUGCAACUCGACUACAUGAAGUUGGAAUUGCUAGUAAUGGCGUGUCAGCAAUAGCGCCGUGAAUACGUUCCCGGGCCUUGUACACACCGACUGUAC
rnacentral:rRNA from 1 species